GUCGUGAGAAAAAGGAACUCCUUCUUAUCUAUGAGUUCAUGUCUAAUGGUAGCCUGGAUACUCAUCUAUUCAAAGAAAGAACCUUCUUGUCAAGGGAGAAAUGAUACAAAAUCGCGCAAGGCAUAGCCUCAGCAUUACUUUACCUCCAUGAAGAAUGGGAACAGUGCGUGUUGCAUCGUGAUAUAAAGUCCAGCAAUAUCAUGCUCGAUUCUGAUUUUAAUGCUAAAUUAGGGGACUUUGGUUUGGCUAGACUAGUUGACCAUGCCAAAGGAUUACAAACAACAAUAUUGGCCGGAACCAUGGGCUAUAUGGCUCCUAAUUGUGUUUACACCGACAAGGCAAGUAAGGAAUCAGAUGUCUAUAGCUUCGGAAUUGUCCUAUUAGAAAUAGCUUGUGGAAGAAAAGCCGUCGAGCCAAGGGCCGAUGAAAGCCAAGUCCUAUUGGUGGAUUGGGUUCGGGAGCUAUAUGGGAUUGGGAGGGUACUCGAUGCAGCAGAGUCUAAACUCGGUACCAAUUUCGAGGAGAAGCAACUAGAGUGCUUGAUCAUUGUAGGGCUGUGGUGCUCUCAUCCGGACCACACUGCCCGUCCUUCCAUAAGAGAAACAUUAAACGUUCUCGACUUUAAUGCUCCACUACCCAGUAUCCCAUCGAAAUUGUUGGUCCCUACAUAUCUAGCACCUCUAUCCUCAUUCACCAUGGCAUCGAUUGUUUCAUCUCACACUACCUCGACCAGUGGCACCGAAGUGUCCACAUUUACUACCUCUUCCAUACAAUCUCCUCGUUCUGCUUCCACUACAUUGCUCCCAUGUACAAUAUAAAUUACUACUUUCGGUAUAUUUUUGAAUAAUCAGUUUGAAUUGUAAAUUGUGCUUCGAAAUUUGAUGCCGGAUACUAUCUGCUUUCACAUAAAUUUCAUCAUGUGUGUACCUUAGUAAUUCUUCAUGUGUGUAUCUGUUAUCAAUUACUAGUUAGAGUGUCCUAGCAAAAUCUACCAUUCUUCUAUUGUCCUUUCAUGCUUCAUGGAAGUUAAAACUCAAUACAAUUAAUAGGUGAAAGCCUCGAACAAAUUUCAGGUUGAAAACAUAUGGUGCGCUCUCAUUGCCUGAACUCAUAUUGAAACUACUUUUUAAAUCUUAAACUUUUUAGUUGCUCUUUAUUGAAAAUUUAAAAUAUAUAUUUAUUUUUUAGUUUUUUAUUUUUAUUUUUUCUUAUAGCACAAAUUGAAAGAUCUAGUAUGCCCCAAUUGCAUUCGUAAUGGAAGUUUUUAGGAUCAUUAGCGUACUCAAAGUCGGAUGAAGCUAAAUGCAUUUUUUCUUUUGUUCGUAAAAAGGAGGUCCAAUAAGCCAAAUUACCACCAAUUUGCUACAAACAACACGGGAACCAACUAUUAGAAAGGCUAAUCCAGACUUUUGAGUCGACAAAUGAAGGGAGAAUGCGGGACACUUUAACACCAACUGAGAACAAAAAUCGAAAUUGAGGAAUGGUAAGCAAUAGAGUUGAAUAUAGAAAAUAAGCUCCCUGAUAAAGUUUGAUAAACCCCACACUUUUGUCUUAUUGUUCCAAUCCAAUGAACUCAUCUCUAUCUUAUUGAAUGUUACCAUUAUUUGCAAUAUAUCAAUCCCCACUUGCCAAAUACUCCCGGUGUCCAACGCCAUCUUCCACUAGACGAGAUGAUGCUCUAUGGGAUAUAUUCCACUUGCCAAAUACUCCCAAAUGGGUACUAAUUUCAAUUGUUUGGAACUUAGAACUUAUCUUAUAUAGGCUAUUAUAAUCCCUAUAGAUGAUUCAUGGUUAAAAUCGACCAAGCGCGAUUUUAGCGCGACCUAACCUACCGAGUAGCUUUUAGGGAUUUUAGCGCGUUUGACUCGUGGUCGAUAAUUUUCGAUCCACAUUUGUGCAUCUUCGACUCGUCUACAACUCUCGGUUGUCGUAAAAAUCGCAAGGUUUUAAUUACAGAUACCGAAUAUAUAAUCGACUGAAAUCAAGUUAGUGCCGUUCGACGCGAAUUUUGCAAUCAUGCAGAAUCACCUGCAAUUCAAUUACGUCAUUCCAUCGAAUUGACCUAUAUCCAAUCACCAAUCGAUUAUAACGGUAUCGUAUUGACCCUUGUCAAUUAUCACAGUUGAGCAAUUGAUUUCUGAUCGAAUUCUCAAGUCUAUCAUGUUUAUAUCCCUUAACAGCUUCACCCAAUAGAUCAGUUAACUCAUGUGUGGUUAACUCAAAAAAAAAUGGACCAUAGGCGCGUCGACGAAAUGCCUAUUUCAUUUUAUCGAGACGGGAUCAAAAUUCAGGAUGUCACAGCCUUGGUCCCAUCCCAUCCAAAGUUUUCAUGCACUUCGUUUCUCUUCGUUAGGAUCGAUCAUUGCUUCUUGACUGAAACAUCGAUCCGGUUCCUAUGAUUCGUCCCUCAGUCUCUUUCAACUGGCCAUGGCAUCGUUUGGAGUCCAAACUUUGGACCGUACACGAGAAAAGGCUAAUUAGCCUAGUCCAAAGCUCCCAACUUUGUCCGGCAUGGUUUUUCAGGAUCUUAUAAGCUAACUUCGGUUUUUCCAACGAUGAAUCCUUUGUCUGAUUACAUAACAUACUUGUUUUGAUAAUCCUGAGGACAAGUCCAUAGGCCCCACUAUCCAGAGAUGUGCAGAUAGACUUCAUCAAGAAUAAUUCAUAUAAUUGAUGAGAUUUAAAUGAUAUUCUCUAAUAUGUCGCGAUUAUAUGACAUCCAACACAAUUAUAUCAUUUUCACUAAAGUUUUUCACUAGAUUUAUGUUGCUUAAAAUUUAACAUUUUCACAUUACAACGUACUAUUCUUCUUUGGAACAUAUUUCUCUCAUUAGAACAAUGGCAAGAUCAUCGCCUAACCUUGCCGUUUUCAUCCUUAAAAUAUUCAUCGAGAAGGUUGCGAGUCUUUUCCUGUGGAUUUCCAUUGAACCAAUUCAAGAUGGUCUCCAAAAAAACAAAAAAACAAAAACUCACAGCCUUAGUCAUGACAUGCAGAAGCGUUUUCUUUAGAAGAGAACAUGCAUAGGCUUCCAGCAUUAUUCUUUGUCUUUUUCGUUUCUAUCCGAUGGUUUUAAUUAUUUAAUGUGAUGGGCCUAAGUUGGCCCAUCCGCCCAUGUUGGGCCUAAAAGCCUAGCCCACAAAAUUAGGGUCCAUGGAUGGAGGGAUACGUUGAAGAGUUGUAACUUUUGGGGGGACGUCUUUUGCUGAAGGGACACGUCUUUUGGAGAAGACGUAUUUAAGGGGAGAAAAGAAAAAGAGAACGUACCUUUUGGAAAAAAACCUACGCUUUUCUUUUCUCCCUCUCCCAAAAACCAACGUAACUCGUCCCCCCCUUUGAACCAAUAGUAGGUUGCUUGGUAGACCGGGAUCAAAUUCUUCCCUCGAACUUCAACGUUGGUGUUUAAUCUGUGGACAAUAAGGUACUCUCGAUUAUGUAGUGUAACUUUCGGUCGGUGAUACAUGUCAUUCCUGGGCUCGUUUUCUGCAUUUAUUUUAGGGGUUCGAUUUAAUGUCGAAUCCGGUUUUUGGGAAUCCGACAUUGCCAACAUUGGUAUCAGAGCCCUAGUUCAUGUUUUCCCGACCCCUUUCAUGUUAAUGAAUGAUUUUUGAUUGAAUUUUCGUGAAAAAUCAGCCGACACCCGAUUCUGUUCCCCCCGUUUUAUGGUUUUCUAUAAGUUGAAAUUUUUUUCUAAAAGCAUAAGAUCAAAGCCCUCGUCGAGACGAGAAAAACAAGUGGCGGAUAGCCGUCGGACGUGCCGCCAUGUGUGACACCCCGAAUGUGGCAUCACAAAUUUAAUGACAAGCCAUAAGGUGAGUUGAAGUUCCUAAUUAGGUGAUAGAAUUUAUUUUGGCUUAUGCCUUAGCCAAUUUGUCUUUUAAUUUGAUGAUUUGUGUAUUUAAAUUUAACAGAUUAAUAAUCUAUGCUUGGCCAUAUGAUUUAAAUUUCAAUGAGCAAAAAUAUUCUAAGACUUUGGCCAAGAUUGAAAAUUGAAAUUUAGAAAUAUUUAUAGAAGAAAUUUCAAAAAAAAAAGAAGGGAAAAAGAGGUUAAAUUGGAAUGGGCCUUGGACCCAUUAGCCUAAAGCUUGGUGGGCCAAGCUUGUCGGCCCAUUAGAGCCCAAGAAGAGGAGGAUUUCGACCAGCCCAAGGGAGUGGCCGGAUGGGCCUAAGCCCAAGCCCAAAUCAAUUCAAAAUUAGUGUGACAAGUGGCAUGAAGGAAUGGCAUGCAUUGGUGGGUUUGUAGGCUAAGUAAUCAUUGCUAAUCAUGGGAUUAAGGGGAUAUAAAAGGGAUGAGGAGAGAGAGAUGGCCGGUUCUUUGCUUCAUUUCGUCCAAAGAGAGGGUGUGCGAGAGAGAGAGCUCGAGAGAAAGGGAGAAACCGAGAGGAGAGGAGGCGGAGCCGGAGGGGAGUGCCGUUCGUUCGCCGUCCGAUCGCCGUGUCCCGUCGCCAUUCGUCGUUGCUUGUUCACCUUUAAGGCAAGUGGAGUCCGUAACUUCUCUUGCAUGUUUGUUGUGGUGUUUGCAUGUUAGAUUUUAGGUAUGAUUCGUGCGAAAAACCGAGGUAAGAGUUGGUUAUAUGUAAACCGUGUGACUGUUCUUGUUCGGUUUCUUGGAGUCAGUAGCUUGUUUGAGUUUGCAUGUGUGUUUAGAGUUCGAUUUUGGCUUCGGUGUCUUCAUGAAAGUUGAAGCUAACGUCCUGUACUAUGACAUACUAAAAAUUCGUAUAAAACGAUGGAUAUUUGAGGGGUCAAAAGUUCUAUUGUACGGAGACUUUAGAUCUGCGAAAUUUUCACUGACCUCUUGUUGAUUUCUUGGUUGCAUGUUGAUUUCUGUUGGAGAUAUCACUUUGUUGUCUCCUUUAAAGUUGAAGGUAACACCUUAAGCUACAACAUACUCAAAUUUGAAGCAUAAAGAACAAGUAUAGCUCGGUGAAUCGGUUAGAUCUUGAAUGUGAUGGUUCUGGUGAAGUAUUUCGAGACACCCGAGAAUUCAUGGACUAAAAUGGUGACCAUAAUCUGGUUAUUUGGCCUAGAUCUCUUCAUGAAACUUGUAAAGGACACCUUGUUACAUAACAUACUAAAAUUUCAGAAGAAAAGAAAGAGAAUUGAUGGGUGAAAAAUAAGAAUUUCGGAGGAGUGUGUUCUGGACGUCGCGGUCGUGAUUCCAGAAGCUUCGUGAGGUUGAAUAAAAUAAUAUAUAAGGAAUUUUACUUGGAGUUCUUCAUGAAAGAUGCACACAAAUGUCUUGGCUAUUACCCUGUAAAAUUUUGUAAUUUUUGGAGGCCGAAUGGAUAUUUUAAUUGAAUUUAUUUGGAAACUGUGCAUUUGGUUUAAAUCCGAGAAUCAUAGGAUGUUUUGGAAAAUUGUGGAAUUUGGUAAAAAUUUCAUAUUGGCCAUGAAUUUUGCAAGUAAAUAUCAUCCUAUGGGUUUGUUUAAUAAUUUCUUGGAUUUUUGUAAUUUUGGGAAAUUAUUGAUAUUAAAAUAAAAUAAUAAUAAAAUAAUAAAAUAAUAAUAAAAUAAAAUGGAUUUAUAUUUGGCCAUGGAUUCAAUUCUAUUUGUGUGGCAUAUGGGUGAUGAGGUCUUUGCACAUGUAUUGGAUUGAGAUGUAUAUGUGAUAAAGUCUUGGUAUGCGUAUGACAUGGUCCUUGUACAUGUAUUGAAUUGAGAUGUGUAUGGGAUAAAGUUUUGGCAUGUGUAUGACAUAUGAAUUGAGAUGCAAGUGUGAAUUCCAUGUCAAAAGUGAUUCGUUUGAUACCAUGCCAAUUGCCAUGUUAAAUUGAGAUAAAGAAAUGGUAUAUGUGGAUGAUGAUGCUCGGUGGCCUAGUGGCGUAAUUCCGGAGAUUCCCUGGGAGUGUCGGGAUGCCCGGUGGUAUACGGUACGUAAUUCCAGGGGAGGCCUGGUGGUAUGUCGGUACAUAAUUCCGGAAGCCCUGUCGGAGGUCUUUGCCCGAAGGGAUUGCCUCGCGAUGCCAGGAUUUGGGUGCGAGAUGCCUAGCUAGAAGGGUGAAGGCCAGAUGUCCGGUUGUAUCUUGGAUACAUGCCCGGAGGUUCCUCGUGAUGCUAGUUGGGAUGCGAGAUGCCCGCAAUGUGGGGGGCCGGAUGCCCGGUUGUAUCUUAGAUACAUGCCCUGAGGUUUUUCUCGCAUGGGAUGCGAGUGUAAAAUAUGGGAUGAAAUUGAUGAAUCGAGGAAGGGUGAUGUGGUGAUCAAAUUUAAAGAUAAAGAUGAAAAUUAACUCAUGGCAUGAUAUGGUAUGAUAUGCAUGAUGAUAUGCUUGACGAUGAUGAUGUUAUGUGAUGUGAUAUGAUGAUCACCCAUGGUAUGAUAUGCAUGAUGAUAUGCAUGACGAUGAUGAUGUUAUGUGAUGUGAUAUGAUGAUCACCCAUGGUAUGAUAUGCAUGAUGAUGAUGAUGAUAUGUGAUGUGAUAUGAUGAUCACGCAUGGUACGAUAUGCAUGAUGAUAUGCAUGACGAUGAUGAUGUUAUGUGAUGUGAUAUGAUGAUCACCCAUGGUAUGAUAUGCGUGAUGAUAUGCAUGAUGAUGAUGAUAAUAUGUGAUGUGAUGAUGUCAUGAUNNNNNNNNNNNNNNNNNNNNNNNNNNNNNNNNNNNNNNNNNNNNNNNNNNNNNNNNNNNNNNNNNNNNNNNNNNNNNNNNNNNNNNNNNNNNNNNNNNNNNNNNNNNNNNNNNNNNNNNNNNNNNNNNNNNNNNNNNNNNNNNNNUGAUUUGCAUGAUGCAUUGAGUUGUUAUUGGAUUCAUUUACCUGCUGAGUGGUUGUAUUCACCCCUUUUGGGGACCAACAUUUCAGAUUAGUAGAUGGUUUGAACGGUAGGAUGUGACCGUGAGGAGGAGGAUAACAAUGGAAGGAGCUUUUGGACGCUGACACGGAUCGAUGGACUUAAAGUGUAUGACUGUUUGAGGAAAUGUCGGUCAUCUUUUGGAGUGUAGCCGAAUAUGAAAGACUACGGCAUUUUGAUGUACCGAUGAAUGAUGUCCAUCUGAUUUAAGUAAAUAAAAGUGUACGGCUUUUACCUAUAAAUGUUUAGUUGGUGUGCAUCAAUUUCUAAAUGUAGGGAAGGGAAUUAUUGGAUAUGCUUCCGUUAUGUAAAUUGCGCAAGGGACCGUUAAUAAUAGAUGUAAAUCCCCAUGGUUGUAUGGACCCGCUACAAUAGAAACGGUAUCAGAGUGAUAUGUUAAUAAGGAAAGUGAAAGGUAAGCGAACUGUGGCGACCCAAAUCGGAUCGGGGGCCGUCGAGGGGUGUCACACCGAACCCCCUUGGGCCACCACAGGCACCUAACGUUACACCUAAUGGAACACUAGCUAUAUCUCUUAUGAGAAGCGUCAUAAUCAUAAACAUAAAUUAUUUUAUUUUUUUGAAAACGGUCCCAGCGUGACUCAUUAGCGGAAGCAAAAUAUAAUAUCUCCAUCUCUCCCUCCAACAACCAUGAUACAAUUGCACACCACUAAUCAUCAUGAGAAAAGACAAAGCCACGACACUUUAUUUACAUAUUUUCAAGAUGGGUUUCCUUGGGUCGGUACAUCAAAAGAAAGGCCAGGACAUGAAGCCACACUCUACCAUAACCCAAAAAGAAACACUCAACCCACUACGAGUAACGUGCAAGAUUCUCCAUCACUAGUGUCGGCUAACCAUCCCAAAAAGUUCAGCUCCUACUUGACACGCACGGGCCCUCACACCCAUCCCGAUGCAUCAGGCAGUGGCGGCGGCAACAUCCCACGCAUCGCUCCGUCUCAACGAACAUGGACGGAUAUAAACUCCUGAAUGACAGGGCCCCCAGCCAGGCCCACGUCGUACAUCACUAUGGCACGCACUCGAAUAAAAGUCAGUCCAGAAUGGUGGGACAGUCGAUCUCCACACACUCGACCUCUACAUCUGAAGGAAUGCCGUAAAAUACGCCCCGCGUGACAACAGGGAGCGACAUCCUGCUAAUCUGAAAUGUCGGUCCCCGAAAGGGGUGAGUACAACCACUCAGCAAGUAAAGGAAUCCAAUAACCACUCAAUGCAUCAUAUAAUACAAUCACAACAUCAUACAUGCCAUUCAUGCAUCUAAGCAUACUUACCUUGAAGCCAUGCAUAUACCAUCAUACAUCUUCAUCACAAUCAUAUCAUAUAUGCAUAUCAUCAUGCCAUAGGUGAUCAUCAUCAUAUCAUGUCAUAUAUGCAUAUCAUCAUGCCAUAGGUGAUCAUCAUCAUAUCAUAUAUACAUGUCAUCAUGCCAUAGGUGAUCAUCAUCAUGCCAUAGGUGAUCAUCAUCAUAUCAUGUCAUAUAUGCAUGAUUCAAUUUCCACUUUUAAAUUUUCAAUUUGAUCACCACAUCACUCUUUCUCGGGAUCAUCAAUUUCAUCCCAUAGGUGAUCAUCAUCAUAUCAUGUCAUAUAUGCAUGAUUCAAUUUCCACUUUUAAAUUUUCAAUUUGAUCACCACAUCACUCCCACAUUCCGGGCAUCUCGCAUCCCAACUGGCAUCACGAGGCAUCCCCUCGGGCAAAGACCUUCGAGGCUUCCGGCACCCAACCAUUCCGGGCAUCCGGCACCCCCCAUCCCGGGCAUCUUGAUACUCCCAGGGCAUUAUCAUCCGCCACAAACAGUUUCCUCAUUUAUCAUUGAUCAUGUUUACCAAUUUAGGUCUCAACUUAGCAUGGCACAUGAUGUAAUGGCAAAUAAAAUCACUUUCAUCCUUUGAUUUAUACAUGCAUCAUUAGUCAUCAUCAUACAUGCAGCAAAAUGCAAGCAUUCAUAAAAAUAAAAUUUAUGGAAUUCAUACAAUUUAGAAUAGCCCAUUUAUCAUGCCUUUUUGAAAUUUAUUUAAAUUCCAGCUUAUACCAUUUUUGAAAAUAUUUAAAUUAAAUUUCCAUAUGAUUCCCAAAAAUCAUGAAAUUAAGGCAUAUGAUAAACAAGAAAAUAAGAUAAUGAUUUCAUGAAAAAAACAUGGCCAAUAAAGUUCCACACAAAAGACAUAAUUCACACAAUCACAGCAUGCAAUUUCGGAUAAAAACAGAAUGUGCAGUUUUUGAAAUAAUUCGAUUAAAAUACCCGAACGACCUCCGCAAAUUAUGAAAUUUUACCAGGUUAUAGCUAAGACACUAAGGUAGACUUUUCAUGAAGACUUAUAGGCUAGAUUCGUUUUAGAUAAUUUCCUAUAGUCGUUCGAAGCUUCUGGUCCUCGUACCGAAACGUCCAGUGUAGUCAUCUCCGAAAUACCGAGUUUUUACCCACUUAUUCUUCUUCGUUUCCUCUGAAAUUUGAAUAUGUUUUACUUCAAGAGGUCCCCUAAAACUUUCACUAAGGGAUCUAAGUCACAUUUCCAAAGAACGGUCACCAUAUGGGUCCAUGAAGUCUCGGGUGUCCAGUACCGCAUCUCCAGAUUUACCAUCUUCAAGAGUAAAUCAAUUCACUAGGCUAUACUUGUUCAUUUUACUUCAAAUUUGAGUAUGUUAGUCCUUGAAAUGUUCUCUACAAGUUCCAUGAAGAAGUAGAAGAGAUAUUCUUGAUAAAAAUCAACAUGCAACCACAAAUCUACCACAAGGUCAGCAAAACAGUUCCAGAUCUAGUGUCUCCGUAGGAUGAGAGUUUGACCCCUUAAAUAUUCAUCAUUUUGCACCGAAUUUUAGUAUGUUGUAUUUUAAGAUGUUGUCUACAACUUUCAUGAAGAAAUCAAAGUCAAAAUCGAACUCAAUACAUGCAUGCAAGCUCUCACAAGAUUCUGGCUCAGGCGGUUCAUGCGAAAACAGCAACAUCACUCAAGAACAAGUCAUUCUAGCUUCGGUUUCUCCCUCCUAAUCACCCAAAAUUCGACACUACUCCAAACAUACAUGCAAGAGUAGAAAGAGGAUCCUAACUUGCCUCUAAAACGAGCUAGCAACGAGCACAUGGUGGCGAACGGGCGGCAAACGGGCGGCGACGGGUGGACGAACGGCAAGCUCCUUCCUCUCCUCCCUCUUGGUUACUCUCUCUCGCAACUCACUCUCUCUCUUUCUCACUUGGACGGCAACCCAACCAGCCACUCUCUCUCUCUCCUUCCCUUUUAUUCCCCCAAUUCUCCAUCAUUAGCAAUCAUCACAUGCCUCCCUUGAUGGUCAAUGCAUGCAAGCUCUCCUUGCCACUUGGCAAGACCCAUGCAAUGGGCCGGCCAUCCUCUUCUUGAGCCUCCCUUGGGCCGGCGACAACCCCAUCCGUGGGCUUCUAUUGGGCCAGCCAGCUUGGCCCAUCUUAGGCCCAUCCAUCUUGGGCCUAAGAUCCAAGCUUAAUUAGCCCAAAUUCAAUCCUUUUAAAAUUACUUAAAUCCCUAUUAAAUUAAAAUACUAAAUUACAAAUUAAGAUGACUAUACACUUGAAAUUAUAAUUCCAUAAGUUCCAAUUUAUCACAUACACAUGGCCAAACAUAAAACUUCAUUUCCCAAAAUUCAUCCUAAAGACUUGGCCACACACCUCAUUGCAACUCAUGGACUAGGAGGCUACAAAAUACAAAUAGCGGUACUUCUAUCGCCUAUCCAUAGCUCAUGGCAUAUUUAGGGAUUUUUAUGAAAUUCCGGGAUGCCACACCACGCGCGGCCGAUUUGGUCCCCCGCAGGCACAUGCGACACACGCGCCGUUUCGGUCGAAGGCACGUGCGACGCACGCGCGAAAGCCUAACGCGUGCCGUGCAUGCGGCAGCUGACGUCUGCAUGACGUCAGCCCGCGCACGCGCGCGGCACGUGCCAGUCGGUUUGCCCGACUAGCCCGUCCGGUCCAGCCGGCCCAACCCGCCGCCCGUUGACUCCGACCAUUGACUUGACCGUUGACCGUUGACUUAGACCAUGGGCCGUUGACCAUUGACUAUUGACCAAAAAAAAGGAAAAGAAUAUGUUUCUUUUUCCAAUUAAGUCUAUGUGGAUUAUAUGUAAUCCUUUAUUUGUUUUGCAUUUGUUGUAGGAACAAUGCCUUCCCUCAGGUUGCGCACACAUGUUCGCGCAAUUACCGAUGAACAAAAUGAAAGGCUUUCUAAGUUAAUAGCUGAGCUAACUGAUCAUCGAUGGGAGAGUGGUGACUUAAUUGAUCACAUUCUUGAAGUCAACGGAAAAAUUCAAAAGGUCAUAUGGAAUGGUCGUCCCUUGCCACAGUCUAAGAUUGUGCGAUUUUUCAUGAACACCAUUCCACCAUAAUGACAAGGAGUGUUGAAUCGCAUAUGGGAUGUCAACAAAGCCUCUUAAUAUAGGAAAAUUGUGAUGGAUUUUAUAGAUGAUUAUUACUGGAUUGUUACAAGGGAAAAUAUCAAAAAAUUGAGCAAAAGAGGAUCUUUCCCAGUUCGUGUACUGACUUGGUGUUAGAUGUAUUGGCUGGUCUUUAUUUAGUGUGUUUUGUGGACAUCUUAUGUAAUAUUUUUCUACCUAAUUAUUGUUGGUGUAACAACUAAUAUGUAAGUUGUAUUAUGUGAAAGCAUUAUUAUUCUAUUGUAUGUCAAAUAUUAUUUGCUUUCUGUUAUUGUUGAUUGCUGUGGGUAGUUCAUAGAAGUUUUUGUAGCUUCAUAGAAUUUAUUUUGCAUGGACAAUUAUAUUAAUGAUAGUUUUAAGUUAGGAUUUUUGGAGGAUGAUUGGAAACAUAGUGACAUUUUGAUUCUGAAACCUUACUUGAAAGUGUUCCUUAAUAUGAUGGGUCUGUGCAAAAUGGAUGCAUAAAUGAUAGGCAUUAAUAAUUCGUACAUAUAUAUCUGAUGUGUUCAGAUCAAUGGCUUCAGCCACAAAGAGCAUAGUUGCCGAGCUGAAUAAAGGUGAAAAGCUCAAUGGCGACAACUAUGAAAUCUAGGACAUGAAAAUCCAAUAUGUGCUGGAAGAACAAAAGGCACUAGAAGCUCUUAACCUAACCAUGGUAGAACCUGAAAAAGGAAACACUUCACAACACUAGAGAGAUAAGGAAGCAUUUGCUGCAUGGAAAAGAAAGAACUCUCUUGCUUGCAUUACGUUGUUGAGUAGCAUGGAAAAUGACGUCAUGCUAGACUUUAGGCGUUUUGAGAAUGCCAAGGAAAUGUGGGAAGCAUUGGCAGCAAGAUUUGGUCAUACUUCGGUGACCAGACUGAGGCAGCUCACUAUUAGGUUUGACUCUUAUAAGAAGCCUCAUGGUCAGACCAUGAAGCAACAUCUUAGAAAGAUGUCAAACAUAAUUAAUGAGCUGAAAAAUGCUGGCCAUGUCCUGAUUGAUGAAUAGCAAGUGCAAGCAGUGAUUUGUUCCUUGCCUUAGAGUUGAGAGCAUAUGAAGGUGCACCUGACCCAUAAUGAAAAUAUCAAAACCUAUGAGGAUGCAGUGCGUCAUCUUGAGUUGGAAGAGGACUGCCUCUUGGCGGCUAAGCCGGAAGCUGAAAUCUAUCAUGCUAAUUCUAGCUCACAUGGAGCUUCGAGCUCCAAGCGCAAACGUCCUAACUCAUUUGCUAAAGGGAAAGGCAGGGAAGCAUGUCCUUCAGGGAAGAAACCUAAGUUUAACCAACAUGAAAGAGGAAAACAUCCUCGAAUGAAGAAGCUUACAAGGGUAAAGUGUUACAAUUGUGACAAGAAGGGUCACUAUGCUCGCGACUGUCGUGAGCCAAAGAAGGUAUACACCCCUUGUGCUUUUAAGAACUUUGUCUAUGUAUCAAGUUCUGUAUUCUUGACUGAGUCUAAUCAUUUGUGGACUGUAGAUUCAGGAGCGACAGACCAUGUAACGAAUAAUAGAGGAUCCUUUGUCGAAUUCCGACGAGUACCAACUGGAACUUAGUGGAUUUAUGUGGGAAACAACUCCAGAGCUGAAGUAAAAGGAAUUGGCACCUACCAACUGAACAUGCGUGGUGGACGCACUUUAUUCCUACAUGAUGUAUUGUAUGCUCCAGAGAUUCGUCGGAAUUUAGUAUCUGUUUUAGUGUUGGUCAAGCUACGUUUUAAUAUGAACUUCCAUAAUAGAGGUGUUGAUUUAUUUUUGGAUACAAAUUACUAUGGUUGUGGUUAUUUUCUGGAUGGUUUCAUUGUAUUAGAUAUUGACUAUGUUAAUGCAAAUGUUUGUUAUUCCCUUCUUACGUCUCCUAAUUCAUAUAAUAAUGAUGUAAAUGUGUGGCAUGCUAGACUUGGUUAUAUUGGCCAACAACGUAUAAAUAAACUAGCCAAAAGAGGGUUUGUUGGGCAAUAUUGAAAAAGUCGAUUUGUCCAUAUGUGAGCAUUGCUUAGUAGGGAAAACGACAAGGAAACAAUUUGGAAAAGGUAAAAGAACUGAAUUUCCACUGCACUUAAUCCAUUCUGACGUCUGUGGUCCAAUGAAUGUGAGAGGAAGGCAUGGGGCUGUUUAUUUCAUCACUUUUAUAGAUGAUUAUACUCGAUUCAGAUAUGUAUAUUUGAUUUCUCAUAAAUCUGAAACAUUAAGUUGUUUCAAAAGGUUUAUGAACUUGAUAGAAAAUCAAUUAGACAAGAAAAUAAAAGUAUUAAGAUCCGAUCGAGGUCGAGAAUAUUUAUCUGAUGAGUUCAGAAAAUUAUGUGAUGAAAAAUGAAUAGAAAGACAGUUGUCUAUUUCAUAUACUCCUUAAAAAAAUGGUGUUACGGAAAGAAGAAACAGAACCCUACUGGAAAUAGUUAGGUCCAUGAUGGCGCAUGCUAACUUACCUAUCACUUUUUGGAGUGAUGCGUUAUUAACUGCUGCCUAUAUACUUAACCGAGUACCUUCCAAAUUAGUUACUUCCACUCCAUAUGAGUUAUGGAUAGGUAGAAAACCGGACUUAAGUUUUCUUAAGCCAUGGGGUUGUGCUGCUUAUACUCAUGAGCCCUCUCACAAGUUUGGGAAAUUGGGUCCCAGAGGAAAGAAGAGUAUUUUCAUAAGAUACUUCGAACACUUAAAAGGGUAUGUGUUCAUAGGUGAUCAAGAAAGUGGGAGUAUAACUGAAUUUGAAUUACGGAUGUCACAUUCUUAGAGGAUGAAUUUCUUAAGAAUGGCAAAAUAGGUAAAGAUUACUCCCUAUUUGAAACAUUGCAUCAAGAUAAUUAUAUUAGUUGAGUUCGUACAAGUGGGAGUAAUAUGAGAAAUGACGAAUUAAAUUCAACUCAUUCUCAAUUACAACCACAUGAUGAGACGACAUAAUCAUUAUCUAAUCCUAGUGGGAGCAUAAUGGGGAAUGAUGUGUAAAGUGUACAAUCUCCCAUACGGCGAACAAGUCACAAAAGUAUUCCCCGUCGACGUUUUGACAUUGAAGGGGAAACUUUUAUGAUUGCUCCGCAAGAUGAGGAUGAGCCAAGAAAUAUUAAUGAGGCUUUCAAUUGCCCUAGUAAGGAAAAUUGCAUUCAUGCAAUGGAAGAGGAGAUUGAGUCAAUGAAGUCAAACCAAGUUUGGAAACUGGUUGAUCUUCCAAAGGGACGCAAACCUAUUGGGAACAAGUGGGUUCUCAAAAUAAAGCGAAAAGCUGAUGGCUCGAUAGAAAUGCAUAAGGCUCGCCUUGUAGCGAAGGGGUAUAACCAACAAGAAAGAAUUGAUUAUAAAGAAACAUUUUCUCCUGUAGUGAGAUUUAUCUCGAUUCACAUUAUUCUGGUAAUAGUGGCUAGUAUGAAUCUUGAGUUACAUCAAAUGGAUAUAAAGAUUGAUUUCCUCAAUGGAGAAUUAGAAGAAGAAAUAUAUAUGGAACAACUUGCUGGUUUCAUUAAAGAAGGCCAAGAAGGAAAGGUAUGUCGACUUUUUUGAGAUCGAUAUAUGGCCUUAAGCAGUCGUCAAGACAAUGGUAUAUACGUUUUCAUAAUGCCAUAAUGGCAUAUGAUUUUACAAUGAUAGAUGAGGAUCAUUGUGUAUAUAUCAAAAGAUCCAAUGAUCAAUUUGUGAUCAUAUCAUUAUAUGUUGAUGAUAUACUAAUUGCCAGAAGCAAUAUGGAGUUUGUUAAUACUAUCAAGAGUUGGUUGUCUUCUAACUUUGAGAUGAAGGAUAUAGGUAAGGCUACAUACAUUCUUGGAGUUAAGAUUUCAAGAGAUCAUUCGAAGAGGUCGUUAUCUCUUUCGCAAGAAACAUAUAUAAAUAAGGUUCUUGAACAAUUUCAUAUGCAAGAUUGUAAACCCAUAGACACUCCUAUUGCAAAAGGUGAAAGAUUGAGCCAUAGACUGUGUCCAAGGACUCCACAAGAGAAUGAACAAAUGAAACAUGUUCCUUAUGCUAGUGCCGUUGGGAGCUUGAUGUACGCUAUGAUGUGUACAAGACCUGACAUAUGUUUUGCAGUUGGAAUGGUAAGUAGAUACCAAUCCAAUCCAGGUCAAGCACAUUGGAAAGCCGUUAAGAGAAUAUUGAGGUAUCUAAAAGGAACUGCUAAUUACAAGUUGAAUUACCAAGGAAAGGAUCUGCGACUUGAAGGCUAUUCAGAUGCUGAUUGGGGAGAAGAUUUAGAUGAAAGAAAAAUCUACCUCUGGAUUUGCUUUCUUACUAAACAAUGGCGCCAUAUCAUGGAGCAGUAAGAAGCAAACGUGUAUAGCCUUGUCCACGAUGGAAGCUGAGUUCGUGGCAUUAUCAGCAGCGGUACAAGAAGGAGUUUGGCUUAAGAGAUUUUUGGAUCAUUUAGGUGUUAUUGAGAAAGCUACAAAUCCAUUAUUGGUUAACUGUGAUAGCCAAGCAGUUAUAACGUACACCAAAGAUCCAAAAUAUCAUGGCAAGACCAAACAUAUAGAUAUCAAGUAUAACUUUGUCAAAGAUAUGGUUGCUCAAAAGGAUAUGAACUUACAGUACAUAUCUACGCCUAGAAUGGUAGCAGAUCCUAUGACAAAGCCAAUACCUAGAGAUGUGUUUUGUGGUCAUGUAAAAUCUCUAGGAUUGCGUAAAGUUUGAUGUACUGGAUUUUAAUUUCCCUGAGUGGUUCACAUUUAUGAACUUGUGUUUUUCAUUAUUAAUGCCUAUGAAUCUUUGUUUGAUCUUUAUGCAUCUUAAUGCUCAGUGCAUUCUUUUAAGUUGAAAAAGUAUGUCAGACAGAUAUAAGAUUAGCCCACUCACACGGGUAAUCGCAUCUAUUUACUGUGUGAUAAAUAGAGAUGAGACUGUUUUUAAGCUUAUUAUCUAGGUGAUAAUCGAGAGCUUAAGCUUAAAAUACGUAUGUCGUCUUAACUGAGUGUUAAGAUGAGGACAUAAUACUUACUAUGUCCGAAAGUAAAAAAAACCCCACAUAUUUUACUUUAUCUGUCUAAGAUGCCAGAUGUGAGUUUUGAUGAAUUUUGUGAAUGAGUAGAUACGUGAACUCAAGUUAGACAUUGGGUAUGUCUGAACUAUCAUAUGUACGGUAUUGAAGGUAUAGACAUACGCUCCAUGGGAAAGUAGUUAAUACCGUAAUACAUAUUUCAUACUACGUAUGCAUGAGACGACCAAUAAGAGUGGCAAAAGUUUGAUCUCAACUUUUAUGCCGUGUGAGACUCUUGAGGAAAAGAGUUCCUCAAUUUUAAGUGCCCUCAUGACUUUUACUUAUUCUCAAGAUUUCUAUUUAGUGUUUGCUAUCUUAGGAUGUUACCAAUGGUCAUAAGUUGAUUCAAUCUAAUGGGACAUUUCUAGAAAAGCAAGCUGAACUGAAAUUGAGAGUUUGAAGGAAAGAGGAAGAUCGAAUUUGGAGAAUCAUAUUGUAGUUUUGUAUUUACUGGUCGACCAAUUAUAACUGUCUUUGGGAUAAUCAUAAUUGUGAGUACAAUAUAUAUAUAUAUAUAUAUAUAUAUAUCAUUGUUUAAAAGAAAUUAAGAGAGAUAUAAAUGUGAUCGAUCGAUUUAGGGUACUGCAUACUAAAUCUACUCAGAGUGUGAUGCCCAUUAUGAGCUGCUAUAUAUUCCUAACAGAUAUAUGACAACGAGCUCUCAAAGUAUACUGGUUGCACGGAUUAUUCACCGGUAUGAAUGUUGAAGAGAGGUAAAGAGGAUCUUGUUCGGCCCACCAUGUGCGAGUGGGAGAUGAUGGUUUUAAUUAUUUAAUGUGAUGGGCCUAAGUUGACCCGUCCGCCCAUGUUGGGCCUAAAAGCCUGGUCCACAAAAUUAAGGCCCAUGGAUGGAGGAAUACGUUGAAGAGUUGAACUUUUAGGGGGACGUCUUUUGCUGAAGGGACACGUCUUUUGGAGAAGCCGUAUUUAAGGGGAGAAAAGAAAAAGAGAACAUACAUUUUGGAAAAAAUGUACGCUUUUCUUUUCUCCCUCUCCCAAAAACCAACGUAACUCGUCCCCCCCUUUGAACCAACAGUAGGCUCCUUGAUAGACCGGGAUCAGAUUCUUCCCUCGAACUUCAACGUUGGUGUUUAAUCUGUGGACAAUAAGGUACGCUCGAUUAUAUAGUGUAACUUUCGAUCAGUGAUACAUGUUAUUCCUAAGCUCGUCUUCCGCAUUUGUUUUAGGGGUUUGAUUUAGUGCCGAAUCCGGUUUUUGGGAAUCCGAUAUUCCCAACACUAUCUAAGCAUCACAUUCAUUGCUUCAUUGUCAUAUGAUGGAACGUCGUUUAAUUUUCAGGCUUUCGAUGGUCGAAUUGUCCCCAAAGGUGACGCCUCUCAGUUGCCUUCACGCGUCCAGCUCACCAUAAGUGAUAGGAAUCAGAACCUUAAUUCCAGCGCGGGUCGAGCCACGUACCACGAACCGAUGUGCCUUUGGGAUAAGUCGACUAGCAAUAUGGCAGACUCACCACUCAAUUCAGCUUUGUCAUCGGUUCAGAACAUAAUGAAACAUUUGCCGAUGGAUUGACAUUUUUUCUCGCCCCCAAUGGGUCAGACUUCGCAAGCAACCCGUCUGGUGGCAAUCUUGCUCUUGUAAGUGUGAACCGAAACCCUUCCGACCCUUCUACCAAAUUCCAUCGCUGUGGAAUUCGACACUUUCUAUGACAGGUCCACCAAUUUUUGGGACCCGCAGUGUGAACAUGUUGGUACAGAUUUGAUUAACUUCUCAUCUGUCAACUUUACAUGAGUGGAUUGGUUCGGGGACAAAAUCAUGAGCGGUGGACUCACAAUGCUUCGAUAUCAUUCAAUUCUAGAGCGCAAGAUGUAAGUGUCCUCAUGAUCGAUGCCACAGAUCCAAAAAGGAACAUUGCCAAGCACUCCCAUUCAGUUAACCUGACAGAGUAUUUGCCAGAAUGGGUGACAGUCGGUUUCUCGGUGACCACGGGUUUGAGCUUUGAGUCGCACUCUGUACUCAUGGGAAUUUAGGUCUGAUCUCCGAGUCACCGAAAACGCGAACAGAACAAGCAGUACUAAUCCUGCAGACACAAACGCAUAUGAGAAGGUUUAGGCUCUUUCUUUCCAUCGCUUUUGUACUAGGCUUUGCUUGGUUUUUUUACUGGUCAAAGAGAAAGAUAAAUGACAAGCAGUACUAAUCCUGCAGACACAAACGCAUAUGAGAAGGUUUAGGCUCUUUCUUUCCAUCGCUUUUGUACUAGGCUUUGCUUGGUUUUUUUACUGGUCAAAGAGAAAGAUAAAUGACAGAAUUGGAGAAGAGGAUGAUCUCCUGUCAAUUGAAGAAGAAUUUAACCAAGUGACCGGACCCAAGAAGUUCUCCUACAGGGACUUGGUAAGGCGACCGAUAAUUUUGCAGCUGCACAAUUGCUUGGGAAAGGGGGUUUCGGAAAAAUUUAUGAAGGCCUCCUGAUUGGCAUUAACUCUAAUGUCACAAUCAAGAAGAUAACUCGAGAGUUGAGACAUGGGAUAAAGGAGUAUGCCACAUAAGAGAAGACCAUCAGCCGACUCAGGCACAGAAACUUAGUCCAAUUCAUCGAUUGGUGUCAUGAGAAAAAGGAACUCCUUAUUUAUGAGUUCAUGUCUAAUGGUAGCUUAGACUCUCACUUAUUCAAGCACUGAACCUCUUGGACGUGGAAAAAGCGGUACAAAAUUGCACAAGGUAUAAUCUUUGCAUUGUUAUACCUCCAUGAAGAAUGGGAACAAUGUGUUGUCCAUAGGGACAUAAAGUCGAGCAACAUUGUGCUUGAUUCAGACUUGAAUGCUAAGCUGGGGGACUUUGGAUUGGCUUGGCUAGACUUGUUAGCCACACCAAAGCGUCACAAACGACUAACUGUAUUGGCCAAAUCCAUGGGAUAUAUGGCUCAUCAAUGCAUUUACACAGGCAAAGCCAGUAAGGAAUCGGAUUUGGAUUCACAGGUAAUAGAGGGCCAAGUUCGGCUAGUGGAUUGGGUUUGGGAGCUCUAUGGAAUUGGAAAGUUGCUAGACGUAGUGGACUCGAAACCACGAAGUGAUUUCGAUAACAAACAAUUGGAGCAAUUGAUGAUCGUACGGCUUUAAUGUGUUCAUCUAGACUCCAAAAUUCGGCCCUCUAUAAGAGAAGCUCUAAAUCUUCCGUAUUAGGAUUUCCAUGUGAGUGAGUUAUGUUAAAGAAAUCCCAUAUUAAAUAAUUAAUGUGAUGUAGAACAGUUAAUAUAUUCUAGUUGGCUCAUAACUCAUUGGCUUAAUCUUUUGAAUGAAAAAAGGUUCAACUGAAUAUGUUAACGGAUUCAGACUUGGACUCUCUCUUCGCCAUCUCCCUGAAAGAAAAUAUUGGACUUAUGUUGUGCACUCCCCACAUUCUAAACUUCGAUACUUCGCCCCCUGCCCUUCCAUCAACAAUGCCGGUCCCAACAUAUCUCGCACCUCCUCUGUCUAUAUUGUCGACCUGGUCACACCUUUCAUCUUUUAGGGUUUCAUCUUUUGGCGCCUCCACUGGUGGUGAACCAGCUGGUCAUAGCAUCGAAACGUCCACAUGUACUACCUUGUCUAAGCGAUCCUCUUGUUCAUCUUCUUCUAAAAUGAUUUCAUAUGCUGAAUGAGCUCUUAUUUCCAGUUGAACUUUGACAAUUACUGUGAAUUGUAACUCCCAAGUCCUUUUUUUUUGCUGGAUAGAUUUCAAAGAAUGUUCGUUUACCUUGCCUUCGUUUCGCAGAAAAUUUUUUGUCCAAAAACAAAGAUGGAGUGCAUUUACGUGGCGAUCACACAUGUUCAACGCAAUUAUCGUUCUUACUGAUUCGUUGAACCAUUCCAAGAUGAUCCCCCGACGAAGUUGGCAGCCUUAGUAAUUGAGCAAAUUAAAAAGCGGUGCCUUUCCACGAAAGAGCUAUAUUCAAAAUUUGAUAACAGCUUGACAUCUCACUUUUGUAAAUCAAUUUUAUAAAAACGAACUAAAUUAGGGCUUAUUUGUUAACAUUUCUAUUUCUCAAAAUUUCUAUUAUUCUGUUCCUCGGAAUAAAAGAAGAAUAGCAAUCCAUUUGAUAACUUUAGUUGAAUUUUCUAUUCCUUGGAAUAGAAAAACGGUUAGGAAAUAGAUUUGGAACAAAAAAACAAGAAAUAAAAAAAAAGUUAAUUUUUUUUUGGGAACAAUUUCUAAAAUAAGUCAUUUUUUUUUCUUUUGUUCAUCUUCCUCCUCUAACUGGUCAUUAGAGCCUCAUCGGUGGCCAAGGAGGCUCCCUCAAGGCCGGUGAAGUCGUUGGCUCUUGUCUCUAGUCGGUCGCCGGCCAUUGCCGAGACCUAGCGAUCAGCUAAAGGAGGAAGAAGAAGAAACGGAAAAAAGAAAAAUGUCAGAAAUUUUUUUAAAAAAUAAAAGAAAUUCUUCGUCACAAAAAUAAUUUAAGAAUUCCACCAAACGCAUUCAUAUUCUUUUUCUAUCUUGGGUAUAGAAAUUUUGCGGUUACCAAAUACAUUCUUCUGCUCGAAAAUUAUUCCAAGAAAUAGAAAUAGAAAAAAAUAUAUUUUUAAAAAGAAAUUAAUCUCAAAAAUAAAAAUGUUAUCAGAUGAAUCUUUAGUCAGACAAAAGGACAUUGACAAUUUUUUAAUGAGAAUGAUUUUUGUUGUGGCUAGCAUGUGUAAUGCAUUGCAGUCGAAACUACUCUUAAUUAAUCAAUAAUGGAAGGGCAACCUUGACAUUUGUUAAGAUGACCCCUUAGAUUGUAUCAAUUCCUGCGAUUUUCUUUUCCUAUUUUUUUUCCUUUUUAUAUUUCAAGUCUAGAGAGUAGUUGUUGUGGAAGACACUCUCAUUUUUUUAUUACAUUGUGUUAAAUUAAUGCCUCGAUUUUAAAUUUGGACAACGAUUUGUUAAAUUAAAUUUAUUAAUAAGAAUUUUUCCAAGUGAUUUAUAUAUCGGAUGAAGAAGUUUUCCUCAUACUAGAUUUUCUUUUGGAUGUCCAAAAGAAAGCAACGACGGAAGAAAAAGGUAAUCUAUAGCUACGAGAUAAAAGAGGAAAUAAAAUAAAGAAAAGUAAGGGUUUCUUCUUUUACUUGCAGCAGCCGACUCUUUUUGCUGCAUGGUGGGCCCACGUCAAAUUGUUGACCAUGGGCACACACGGACGAAAGCAAAACGAGAGUUUUCUAUCUCACUAGCCGCCGAAGCCCUACGAAGUAGACAGAGAGCCGCACAAAAGGAAAGUGUAGAAGCCGACGAGAAGCAGCAACUUGCAUGUGAAAGAAGAAAAUUCAAUAACGCUGCACAGUCUUGACUUUCGGUCCUACGAGAAGAGUAUUGCUUGGACUUGAACACAUGGUUAUUUUCAUGCUGAGUUUAUAUUAUAUAUUUAUAAAUAUUUUGAAUUUGAAUUUAAAUUUAGGUAUGAGAAAUACUAGAGCGUGUGAACAAUUAUAAACUCCGAUUUUUUUAUCAUAGUGGAUUAUUUGCUACUAACUCUCCCUAUGGAUAUAAGUAUUGAUAUUAAGAAUAAAUUACGUAAAUCUCUGAAGUCUUUAUUAUUUAUCGUUUAUUUAUUUGGUGAUUUUGUAUUAACGUAAUUGUAAGAUCAUGUCGUUUUCGCGUAUUAUAUUCCAACACGUUGAAACAUUCCAAGUGUCCCCGAAUUCAGGAGCAAUCUAGAAACCUCAAGGAGAAUGAAGCUUUACAACUCAGAUAUCAAAAGUUUUGAGAUCCAAAUAGUACAUUUAUAACAAAUUUAUUCUCCAUUAAUUUCAAUUAAAUAAAAUUAAUAUUUAAAAAAAUCGUAAACCGAUACACCUAUGAUAAACGGAGGGUAAAACUCCAAACCGGUACACCUGUUAAUCCGCAUGUGUUAUCCAAUUCAGCAAUUUAACAAUAAAAUUUAACGAAAAUUAACGGAAGGUAAAUUUAUCAUAAAUGUACUAAUUUAGAAUUUUUAGUAAUCAAAAAAUUAGUUUGGAAUAAAUUUAUUACAUAUGUAUUAAUUUAUGAUUUUUUGUGAUAUUAAUCUUAAUCUUAAAAAUACCCUUGUCUAUCGCAAAGUCAACAUUUAGGAACAGCGAGACUAGAGUCUAGAGCUAUAUUAAACAAGCUUCAAAGUCCCAUGCCUUCUUUCAUUAUUGAUCUCAUCUUAAGGACAAACGACCUUGGUCCCAUCCCAUCCAAUCUACUCACAUGAGCUAUCUUUUGUCCUUUAUAUGGCAUUGUUUCGUUGACCUUUCUCUUUGUUAUUAUCGAUCUUUACCGCUCACUGAGCCAUCGAUCCGGUCACUCUGAUUCGUUAAACAGUCUCUUUCGCGAGAAAAGGCUAAUUAACGCAAGUCCAAAACCCACCAACUUUACUCAACAAGCUAGUUUUAGUACCUUAUAAACCGGCUCUAGAUUUUCCAAUGACGUAUAUUUUCUAUUGACAUACUAUAUUUUAUUGGUUAUAUCAGAGCACUAGUGCAAAGGUCCCGCUCUCUGCAGGCCUGUUCAACAUCCUGCAAGUCUUGUGAAUUAAUUAAGACUUUGAAAUGUGUAUAUGGGCCUAACCCAGAGGUAUUUGGAUGUAAUUGAUGUAAUUUGAAUAAUGUACGCUAUCGAAGAAGCGAAGAGGAGUGCGGCCAGGCUCGCCUUGGAUUGCGCUGACUUCAAGCGCUCGAAAUUGGGUACGUCGUUAUUCAAGACGGAUCGAGUGGCGCGUAACUUUCUUCUGAAAAUUUGCGAGUGAAGGGACGAUUUCGUGGUUUUGGGAGUUGGAGGAGAGAGCAGGACUCUGUCGCCAUAGAAAUUGGAAGAAAGCAAUGGAUUUGUAGUCGCAGACAUGGUUGUCGCGCUUGGGUUUUUGUUCAGCGUCGCCCGGUUUGCUUACUUAUCCGCUCGAGAGGGAGAAGGAGAUGAGGAAAGGGUGCGAAAUUCAAGAAUGAAGCGUGGAGGAGGAGGAGGAGGAUGAUGAUGAUGAUGAUGAUGAAGCUCAUCAAGACGAGCGAUGAAUCACAAAGUGGAUCCCAAACCCUUGCACUGGUAACCAAAACUAAUUGAUAACCCAUGGAGAAAAGCUGGUAAGCCACACAGGUAAAUGUUGGUAAAUUCAUAUGAGAGUUAAUAAAUUUAUGGAGCUUGUAGGAGAGAAAAAUAAAUUUUGGCAAACCAAAAUAAAAGUUGAUAAACUUUAAAAAAAAAAAUCAAAUAAAUAUUGGGACAUCAUUCAAAUGAGAGUUGAUAACUUAAACCUAUAUGUGAAUUACAUCAAAGAAAAGUUGGUAAGUCACCCAAAUAAAAAUUGAGCAACUCUUUAAGGCUUUAACAUGGGGAGCGAACAAAAGUUCGUAAAACGAAACAAAAAAAAAUGGUAAUUUGUGAACAAUAUAAUUAAUAGUAUGUUAAAAAAGUGAUGAUAAGUUACCAAAGAGUUGUUGGAAAAACUAGUGACCGAUGAUUUUUUUUAAGCCAUUAAUUGUCAAAAAAAAAAACGCUCCAUUAUGUGGCUUAGCUCGAGAUAAACAUCAUUUAAGUAGUGAUUAGGGCAAUAAAAAUCUAUUGAAGGUCAAGCGUAGGCCAUGAUUAGAUAUUGACAAAGCUCGUCGCAACUGGUGUUAGUUAUUACGGACGCAGAAACUUAGCCUCGGGAGCGAGAUAAAGGGAAUUACAUUACUCCAUUCUCGAGGCUUGUGAUACAAAAAAUUAACAAAAAAAUUUCGUAAGUCAUAUUCUACACAAGCAAAGAGAUUUUGCAUUGACGAGGGGCGGAUAGAUUCAUGGCGGCGCCCGCCAGCCUACCGGUGGGUCCGUCGUUCGGCGGCUGAGAACAACGGGUGUGAUGGCGGCUUCCAGCUAGUCACAGGGUUCACAGUCCUUUCCGAGUCACGACAUAGAAAAGGGCAGCCCCACCGUGUACUUUUGUAAUUGGCCGUUGUUUUUGACCAAGCAAGAAAAGCCUAAUAUAAAGAAAGAAAGGGCGGGUCCGUUUUUCCUUUACAUUGUAUAAUAUUGUUUAUCAUAACAACCAAUAAUCGAUCCCACUUUUCAGAAUUGGCAGUCAUCUUCCAUUUAGCACAUGCGUGAUCAAUGACUCCGUUUGACAUAAGAACAGUGCUGAACUUUAAAAUGGUUUAAAAAAUCGACACACAAGUGGUGCCUCCGACUAUGGAUGGCCAAGGAAGUCGGCAAUCUUCCAUGGCAUUGAUUUUCCUCGCAAGUGGCAUGUAGAAUCAGUGCUUCGCAGCCGGUAUUUCUCCUAAUUAAUGAUCUAUCAAGUGUCCUUUGGUCAUUCUUUAUAAAACUGUGUUCUCUUUUCUUUUCUUUUCGUGGUCUAAAGUCUUUGUCGUAUGGGACCACGUGUGGACUGUCUCAUUUUCGUUUACAUCGAACCUUUCCGAAAUUGAUCGCAAGUUGCUCAAGAACCAAAAGCCUAGGUGAUUGGGGACCACCGCGUAAACAUAUAUGUCCGUGUAACAAUGUCAGAGCACCAAAAAGCUGUGCUAACUCCCUGGUUCCAAGAGCAUCUUGAAACCUGAGAGAGAAUGGAACUUCGCAGCUCAAAUAUCGUUAGUUUCAAGACGAGGGAGCUUCAAUCACUCCUAGUCUUGGUUCUCUCUCUAGCCAUCGCCUUCACGGCUUCGGCGUCGUCUCAAGGCAUCGAUUUCAGCUUCCAGACUUUCGACAAUGAUAGCAUUCGAUUCCAAGGCGACGCGUCUAUUUCGGGUAACCUCAUCCAACUUACAAGGGUCUACGGGAACGUGGUCUCCGGGAACGUGAGCGGGGGGUGGGCCAUGUAUCAUGAGCCGAUGCGCCUUUGGGACAAGGCCACCGGGAACGUGGCGGAUUUCACCACCAACUUCACCUUCAUCAUCGAUUCGCAGGAAAACUCCAUUUUCGGCGAUGGAUUCACCUUCUUUCUUGUUCCCGAAGGGUCUCAAAUCCAGAUCAACUCAUUGGGACGCUACCUCGGUCUUAUAAAUCCGAACAGCAACCCUUCCAUCUCUUCUACUCCCUUUGUAGCCGUCGAGUUCGACACGUAUAGGAACAACUAUAGUGGUGUUGUGGACCCGAAUUGUUUACAAGUUGCACAUGUUGGUAUAGACUUGAAUAAUCUCACUUCCGCGGUCUCUAGCUGCGUUGAUUGGUUCAAGGAUAAAAUCAUGAGCGGUGGACGGAUCAAUGCUACGAUUACGUACAAUUCUAGCACGCAGAACUUGAGCGUUGUCAUGAUUGAUGCAGAUGCCACGGGCACUGACAUAACAGCCUCCGCUAUCUACGAUAUAGUCAACAUGUCCAAGUAUUUGCCGGAGUGGGUGAAUUUCGGCUUCUCCGCUGCAACGGGUACGGAUUUCGAGCUGCACACUCUUGAGGCAUGGGAAUUCCGCUCUAACGUGCAAGUGGCUGGAAAAAAGAGCAAGUUAUGGUUAUGGGCUACCUUAGGCUCAGGUUCUUUCAUUUGGCUGGUUCUUGUUCUAGCCUUUGUUUGGUUUCGUCACUGUUUGAAGAGAAAAGGAACUUACAUGAGCGGAGAAGAAGAUGCUCUGGCAAUCGAUGAAGAAUUCGAGCAAGUGCCAGGGCCCAAGAAAUUCUCCUACAAGGAAGUGGUAGAGGCGACCAACAAUUUUGCAAUUGAACGGUUAGUUGGGGAAGGAGGCUUUGGGAGAGUGUACGAAGGAUACUUGACCACUGUGAAUGCCAAAGUUGCAAUCAAGAAGAUUAAUCCGGGGUCAAGACAAGGAAUAAAGGAGUAUGCCACCGAAGUGAAGACCAUAAGCCGGCUCCGGCAUAGAAACUUAGUCCAACUUAUCGGGUGGUGUCAUGAGAAAAAGGAACUCCUCCUUAUCUAUGAGUUCAUGUCUAAUGGUAGCCUAGAUACUCAUCUAUUCAAAGAAAGAACCUUCUUGCCAUGGGAGAAACGAUACAAAAUCGCGCAAGGCAUAGCCUCAGCAUUACUUUACCUCCAUGAAGAAUGGGAACAGUGUGUGUUGCAUCGUGAUGUAAAGUCCAGCAAUAUCAUGCUUGAUUCCGAUUUUAGUGCUAAAUUAGGGGACUUCGGUUUGGCUAGAUUAGUUGACCAUGCCAAAGGGUUACAAACUACAAUAGUGGCCGGAACCAUGGGCUAUCUUGCUCCUGAAUGUGUUUACACGGGUAAGGCAAGUAAGGAAUCAGAUGUCUACAGCUUCGGAAUUGUUCUAUUAGAAAUAGCUUGUGGAAGAAAAGUCGUUGAGCCAAGGGCCAAGGAAGGCCAAAUCCGAUUGGUGAACUGGGUUUGGGAGCAAUAUGGGAUCGGGAGGGUGCUUGAUGCAGCAGAGUCCAAACUUGGUAUUAACUCUGAUGAGAAGCAACUAGAGUGCUUGAUGGUUGUAGGGCUGUGGUGCUCUCAUCCAGACCACAUCGCCCGCCCUUCCAUAAGAGAAGCAUUAAAUGUUCUAAACUUUAAUGCUCCGCUACCCAAUCUCCCAUCAAAAUUGCCGGUUCCUACAUACCUAGCACCUUUAUCCUCAUUCACCAUGGCAUCGAUUGUUUCAUCUCACACCACCUCGACCAGCGGCACCGAAGUGUCCACAUUUACUACCUCUUCCAUACAAUCUCCCCGUUCUGCUUCCACUACAUUGCUCCCAAGUACAAUAUAAAUUACUACUUUCGGUAUAUUUUUGAAUAAUCAGUUUGAAUUGUAAAUUGCACUUCGAAAUUUGAUGUUGGAUACUAUCUACUUUCAUAUAAAUUUCAUCAUGUGUGUACCUUAGUAUUAACUCUUCAUGUUUAUACUUCGAUUUGAUCUCCAAGAUUAUCUGAUGUAGUAUGUAACUUCUUUGAUGGCUUUGUAUAUAUCAUCAAUUGCUAGUUAAGGAGUCCUAGCAAAAUCUAUCAUUCUUCUAUUAUCGUUUCAUGCUUCAUGGAAGUUAAAACUCAAUAUAAUUAAUAGGUGAAAGCCUCAAACAAAUUCAGGUUGAAAACAUAUUGUGCGCUCUCAUUGCUUGAACUCAUAUGUCACGCCCCGAAUCCCGAGACACGUGAACAACCCGCCAUGGUCAUGUAAAUACAACAUUCCCAGGUAGUGUCGCCGACCCCAUUUAAAUUAUUAUGCGCAUGUAGAACGUGCUAAAAAACGCCUGACAAAAACAUACGGGAUAGGACAGCAGGAAAAUUAAUUCAAAAUCAAACCAACAUACUUUCAUAUAUCAUCAAUCCAGGGUUUACAUACACCAACAAGAUCCAGAGACUAUAUGCACCAAAAAUGGGUCAAGGACUAUGUGCGUCAAAAAGGGUCAGUCUGCACACUAGGGAUCGGUCCACAAAAAAAAAAAAAAAAAAAAGGAAUAGUCCUAUGACUACUGGCUGAACUCGUUCGACGAUCCCACAUCCUCAGGUUCUGUCACCCAAGAGGCCGAGGGCGAUGCGUUAAUCACUCCACCGUCGGGAAGAUCCGCCAUGCCUUCACCCAAAAUGGCGUCCAUCACAGUCAACGGAAUGUCCAUGCUAUCCAGUGGGCCAACCCUAACGCCAUCGGCUCCAUAACGAAACCAAGCCCUAAACAUAUAAGGUACUGUGACAUCCACGGUCACCUAGACCCAAACAAUGGACCUAACCAACUGAUAGACCCAAGGACUUCCAGGGUCAGGAGCACUUUGCGUCGUCUGGUGAAUCUCCGCCAGCAUGCCACUCUUCUCCGAGGGUACCGCCAUCUACAGCCCUGUAAUAUUUUCCCCAAACCGGGAUGAGACUUUGUCUCAGCAAGUUCACCCCUCCUAAACCCCUAUUAGAAAGAAAAUACGCCCUAGAGUAGUCUAGCCACACAAGCACAGAAGACUUACCUUGCCUUCUUGCCUUCCUGCAGGUUAGUACAAUUCAUAUCACUCGAACACAAGUAAUAAUAAAAAUGUAAACCAUCGGAAUACAAUCAAUUUCACUUAAUUUCGCAAUCAUAGCAAACGUUCCAAAUUAUUAUUUACUGCUACACAAGGGCAUAGCCUACUCGCAGUACGGUUAUCUAAUGACAUAUAGCCAGGCAUUGCCUCCGCACCUUGGAGCGCGACUUCGUCAGUACAUCGACGGCGUUCCCGAAGGAGCAUGGGCCCAGAAUCAACUAUGACCCGCAUUCGUUGUAUGGGGCAUCCCAUAUAUGAGCAAUUCCAACUCAAUAGCUCAAGACAAUUCAUCUUAAUUAUCAUACAACAACUCAUAAUCAACCCAAGGCACUUUGCACAUCACUCACAUACCCCAAUUACAAUAUUAAUCUUUAAAAAAUCCAAUUUCGAUGCCAAACCCAACAUUUGAGAUUUUUUAAAUAAAAUCCAUAUUUUCCACAAUCAACACUCAAUUUGCAUUAACCACUCAUCAAUUUCAAAUUCUAAAUAUAUAGCAGCGAUCGGCACGAAAUUCUAAGCAAUUAGGAUCAAAAAUAAUUUUUCGAGUUUUUUUUUAAUUUAAAAUUUUCUUAAUAUAAUAUAUUAUUAAAUAAACCAAUAAUUUCGAAACAUUUAUUUAAAUCAUAAGCAAACCCCUUUGAGUCACAUCAAGGCUUAUAUUAAAAUAAACCUACUUAACCUUUAAACUAAACAUACUUUACCUUAAUUAAUCACCUUAAUCUAAUCAACAACUAAAUAAACUAAUCUAACAACCUAAUCUCAAUCAACCUAAGCUAAACACACUUAAGGCAUCAUUAACCCGCUAAUCAAGGUUUAGUGAGCUAAACUCACCGGAAUUGCUUUCCGAUGAGUCUCCGGCAAAGAGCAUGACGAUGCCGUCAACAAACCUACACGGAUCAACAUUAAAUGAGAACCAAAAGGCGACCAAAUCAAGCCUUGAAGAACCGGAUCUUGCCGGAACUUCCAGCCACUGACCAAGCUCGGAGCAAGGCGGCACAGCGGUCGGUCGGAUGCAAAACUAGCGGAAGAGAGAGGCGGCAGCUCGAGCAACAACCGAUGAUGGUUCGAGCGGAGGAACGGUGGCGAUGGAGGCUUCGGCGAGGUGCUGCGACGUCGAGCAGCAGCUGCAGGAUGGCGGUCGAUGGCUGAAACUCGCGGGUGAAGGCAGCAAGUGGAUGAGCUAACCGACGGAGCAACGCACGGGCCUCCUCACGCAAAUGGGCGAUGACCGCAACGGCUCCGGCGAACGGCAACGGUUGCGACAAACGAACAAGCGAAGGGCAUGGGGCUGGCUGUCGCACGGUGUAGCUUCUCUCUCUCUCUCCUCCAAGUUCAAAUGAAGAAGAUGAUGGGGACAAGGGGGAAGUGACACCCCACCUUUCCAAGAGUCAAUCCCCUCCAUCCACUUGUCAUCAUCUUAUACACUCUUGCCCCCACACCAUGACAUCACUUGUGAUGUCACAAUCCACUAACUCUAACCUCCCAUGACUUUAGUCCAAUAGAUUCAAUUUCAUUUUCCGCCGGGACAUAGAAUCUUGUGUGCUAAUUUCUUCAAUUCCAUUCAAUUCUCUUCCAAUUGAGUCCAAUUAAAGUCCAUAAAUUAAUCAAAUGAUCCUAAUAAGAUUUGUGACACACCAUGACUUCCAAUUUUAGGAUUCGAUCUCAAUUUCACAGUUAAUUUCACUUUGGCACAAUACUAGCGCGUCCUGAUCUACCGGGUAGCUUUUAGAAAUUUUCAUGCAUUUGACCUGUGGUUGAUUAAUUUAAGCCACAAUGUACAUCUUUGACACAUUGGCAACUUUCGGUUGUCAGGGUAAUCUCAAGGUUUCAAAUACGGGCACAGGGUACCCAAUCGAUAGAAAAGUCGAUCCAGUGCCGAUCGACAAGAAUUAUGCGAUCUUGUGGAAUCACCCACAUCCGAUCACAUGCCUCUGUCGAGCUGACCUAUCUCCGAUCUCUAAUCAAUUUUUAUUUGUGCCGUGAUGACCCUUGCAGGUUAUCUCAGUUGAAAGGUCGCUUCCUGAUCAAAUUCUCGAGUCUGAUGCAUUAGAAUCUCUUAACAACUUCACCUAAUAGACUAGUUUUCACAUGAGUGGCCGACUCAAGGAGAAGAACUAUAUGCAUGCCAACGAAAUGCCCAUCUCAAUUUUAUUGAAAUUAGAAUUGGAAAAUCGGAAUGUCACAUCAUAAAUUGAAACUGCUUUUUAAAUCUUAAAACUUUUUAGUUGCUCUUAAUUUAAUUUUUUUAAAAUUUAUAUUUUCAUUGCACAAAUUGAAAGAUCUAAUAUGCCCCAAUUGCAUUCAUAAUGCAAGUUUUUAGGAUCAUUAGUAUACUCAAAGUCGGAUGAAGCUAAAUGUAUUUUUUUCUUUUGUUCAUAAAAAGGAGGCCGAAGUAGCCAAAUUACCACUAAUUUACGGCAAACAACACGGGAACCAAUUAUUAUAAAGGAUAAUCCAGAAUUUUGAGUCAAUAGAUAAAAAGAGAAUCUAAGUAGCACUGACACUAACGUGCGACGCGAUACAACAUGACACGCCGACACGUCGUUUCUCAAAAAAUAGAAAAUUUCGACACGUUGGGACACGUUACAUAUUAAAUAUAUAUUUUUAUAUAUACAUAAUAAAUUAUCAUUUUUAUGAUUAUUUCAAUCAAAUUUAUAAAUAAUUAAUUAAUUAAAAAAACCUUGAAUGAAUUUAUACUAAAAACAUUAAUCCACUAUUUAUUAAUAUAAUUAAUUGUUUUAAUUUAACAAAUUCAACUUCAUUUCAAUAAUUCAUAAAACUUGGAGAAAAAACAAGCGAUCCAUAUUCUGAACUCGCAUGUUAGAUAUGUUGGAAGAGGAGAAAAAAAAAAUUAAGGGAUAAAUUGUGUAUCACGGAAAGUGGGAAUCAGAAGAGGAGAAUAUUGGGUUUUUCUUAUUUCUCUAUUUAUUAUUUUUAUUAUUUUGUUUUAUUUUUUCACACACGUGCGCGCGCGCGCGCACACACACGCGCGCACACACACACACACACACACACAUAUAUAUUGACAUCUCAUUUAUUGAAUUUUUAAAAUUGACUUCGAUAUUAGAAUUACGUAUCGGAAACUCGUAUGUCAGAAUUCCAACUCGAGUAUCGAAGAGUAUCGACACAUGUUGGAGAGUAUCGGACAUGUGUUGAAGUGUCCGACACGACACAAAGACUCUUGGAAAGUGUCAGUGCUUCAUAGGAGGGAAUACAUGUACAUAAAUUCAAUUGGAACUUCAUUAAUAAACAAUGGGACACUUUAACACCAACUGAGAAAAACAAGGUGAUCUCUCCUUCGUCCAUGGUUUCCUCUCACGCUGAGAAUGGCGAGUCUCCUCCUACCGCUGGGUAGGUUUCCAUCUCCCCGGUGAGAUCCUUCUCCUCUGAUGUUUAACCCUAACCUCCUCCGUCAUCCUCAUACCCGUUGAAACCCUCACUCGAUCAUGCCUCCACCCCAGUUUCCUCCCUUUUGAACCUGUAAUGAAACACCCAAAACCCUAAAAUCCAAAUGACACCAUCAACAAAGUAACCCGUUUGUUCCCUAAUGGGUAAACCCAGAAAACCCAUUGCGGUCGACUGAAUCCCAUUGUCGACUCCUCUGUCUUUUGGCCUCAUCUCCACAGUGGUGCUGUAGUCCGAUACCCACAGGCGAGUCCCUCCUUUUUUCCUUUUGGACUUCAUCAACAUAGUGGUGUUAUUCCUCAUUCAGAGCUCCCUUCAAAGCAAACCCUAGCGAAAAUAUGGCUGAUCAGCUUGAUGAAGAAAGGCGGGUUGCAGCCCUGUGCAAAAGCUUAGGUGAGUUAUGGUCUGAGAAUGAUGUUGUUGAUAUACAAUGCGCUAUCUCAGAAGACAAACUGAUUGAGUGCCGGAAAACUUUGUUUGGGAAACUAUAUGCUAGACUAAAUGUGCAUUUCCCGUCUUUUGUGGGUACUAUGACCCGGGUGUGGAAAGUGGACAGGGUAAAUUGCUCUUAGCUUGGAACAGGACAUUUCUCAUUUACUUUCCAAUCGGAAGAAGAAAAACAGAGAGUUUUAGAUACAGGGCCAUGGUGCUUCUCCAGUAAUUUACUAGUAUUAAAAGAAUGUGACCCAGACACCCCGGAAAUCUGUUAUGACUUUAGUAAAUGUGCUUUUUGGGUCAAUUUCUAUGGCUUGCCGUUUGGGAGAGUCACUAACGAAGUCAUCGGAGAAUUAGCUUCAAAAUUGGGGGAAGUUAUAGCGGUGAAAUUGGAACCAAGAGGCAAUAGCCACUAUAAAAUGGGAAAAGCCAAGGUGAUACUGAAUCUGGAAAACCUGUUAAAAACGGGAAUACUUGUGAAUUUGGCAAAGAAGAAAGUAUGGGUAGAGUGCAAAUAUGAGCGAUUACCACACUAUUGUUACUCAUGCGGAAGAAUGGGGCAUUAUGCUACUGCAUGCAAGGAAAUCCCAUAUGAGAAAUCAGGGUUGCCGGAUGAUUUACCAGGAAGAUAUGGGCAUUGGCUUCGAGCGGAUGUGCAGGAAUUAAGCCCGUAUGGGAAAAUCUUUUAUGGCAAACAGGAACCGGUCCUCGAUGACACAGAAAGCGUACCAGAAACCCCUAUGCAUUCUAUUUCAGAAAAUGAAAACCAGCAGCAGGAUCAUCACUUAAACAGUGUAAGGGGACAGAAGAAAGCAGAACAGAUAACUCAGAAGGCAACCAGUUCAACCACACAACAGUUAGCAAUACAACUCGUGGGGGAUAACAGCCCGAAAAAGAGAGGAAGCGGCUGUAUAGAUGAAGCAUCAGCAAUGGUCCUAUAUGAAGAACAGCAAAAGGAGGAAGAAAGAGCAAUGAUAGAGGCUGAAACAGGGGAGAAAAGGCUGAUCAGGCAUAAAUCUAAAGGCACUAAGCACCAAUCAGCUAAAAAAGGUAAGCGCUUCUGCCCAUAUGGCGCGCAAAGUUCUAAAACACUGGAGAUUGACACUACUCAGCUGAUAGAGACCCCGAUUGAGGAAAUGAAGAAGACAUGUCAGUGGGCUUUGGUGGCUAGCCCUAAUAAGCCACCAACAAAGCCAUGAAACUUCUAAGUUGGAAUUGUCAGGGGUUGGGCACACCCCUGACAAUUCAGGCGCAGCGAGUCCUAGUGACUCAAGAAAGGCCCAAUGUUUUAUUUUUAAUUGAGACUAAAAAUCGGGAGAAAAAGUUACAUCAGUUAAGGAGGAGGUUGAAGUUUUAGUAGUGUUUUGUUGUGAACCCGGAAGGAAUUGCAGGGGGUUUGGCUGUGUUUUGGGAUAACCAAGUUGAAAUAUCAGUUGAAUCAUUUUCCAACAACCAGAUAAGUGUUCUCUGUCAAGUAAUAGAAAACAGACAGCAAAUGCAAAUUACCUUCAUACAUGCUCCUAAUGCAUUCCGAGAAAGAAUACUACUAUGGGAGGAACUUUAUAUAGCAAGUACCCACCACCACUUACCAUGGCUAUGCUUGGGAGACUUCAAUGAAGUCUUGUAUCAUUGGGAAAAAGUGGGCGGCAAACGAGCGGAAAACUAUCGGUUGACAGCCUUUAGGGAUUUUCUUGAGAAAUGCUCAUUAAUGGAUUUGGAAUCCAAAGGCUGCGCUUUCACCUGGACCAACAACCGAACAGGAGAUCAAUUUGUUAAGGAGAGACUAGACAGGGGAUUAUGCAAUCUCGAGUGGAGAUUAUCCUAUCCUAAUGCAGAAAGCUUUGCACUACCAGCUGUAGGGUCUGAUCACAGCCUUAUUCUAAUUCGUUUACAGACGAGGAGAACAAAGAAGAGGAGGAUUUUUCGCUAUGAAGCAUUCUGGGCUGAAGAUGAAGAAAGCGGACAGAUAGUUAGGAAGGGCUGGGCUGAAGGGGAAUCUCAAGGGCUGAACUUGGCUCAAAAACUGCAGAAGGUGGCAAAACAAUUGGCACAGUGGAGUAAAAAUAGAUUUCAGAAUGCCAAACGGAGAAUAGAUGAGCUGAAAAGUGAAUUACAAAGCCUUACAAAUGCAACUGAAGUUUAUAAAGAAUGUGAGGUAGCAAAGAAUAUAAAUCAGGAGAUUGAAAAGCUAUGGUGGCAAGAGGAGUUGUACUGGGGGAUGCGUUCAAGAAUAAGCUGGUUGAAAUGGGGAGACAGAAAUACAAAAUUUUUCCAUGCAACAACCAUUCAAAGAAGAAACAGAAACAGAAUUACCUUACUCAAGGAUGCCAACGGUGAGUGGGUGAAGGAGGAUCUACCUUUAAAAGAAAUGACAGAAACUUUCUUCAAGAACCUUUAUUUGUCAAUGGGGGCUCGUGACUUUCAACCUGUCAUACAUCAAAUUCCAAUCUUAGUGGACGGAAGCAUGAAUCAAAGAUUGGUGAAAUCUGUCACAAUAGAGGAGAUAACAGAGGCAAUGCAACAAUUAGGAGCUAAUAAGGCUCCAGGACCAUAUGGGUUGAAUGGGCUGUUCUACAGAAAUCAUUGGACAGAUCUAAGUCAGGGAAUUUUCAAUGAAGUUCAGAAUUUCUUUGAAACAGGACACUUAAACCCAAACCUAAACAGAACCCUAAUCACCCUCAUUCCCAAAGUCAAAAACCCAGAAAAGUUAGAACAAUUCCGACCCAUCAGCCUAUGCAAUUUCAUUUACAAAAUCAUUUCCAAAGUAAUGACCAAUAGACUGAAACCUUUACUUCCCAGUCUUAUUGCCGAAGAACAAAGUGCCUUUGUGGGGGGCAGACAAAUCCAAGACAAUAUCUUGAUCGUACAAGAGGUGCUACAUAAGCUGCGAACUCGGGAGAGGAAGAGUAAAUUUCAAGCGGUCCUUAAGCUUGAUAUGCAAAAAGCCUACGACCGAAUCAAAUGGGACUUCCUACAAGCAAGCUUAAAGAAGAUGGGGUUUUGUGAUCAAUGGGUUGAAUGGGUGAUGCAAUGUGUAACUACGGUGUCGUUUAGCAUAAACUUCAACGGGGAAUCCCUACCUUUUUUCAAGCCAUCAAGAGGACUACGACAAGGUGACCCACUCUCCCCAUAUCUAUUCAUUAUAGUGGCCAAUGUUCUUUCCCUCCUUAUGAAACAAGCAAUUUCAAAUGGCACUCUACGAGGAAUAAAGCUAAAUAGAUGCUGCCCAACACUCUCACACCUGCUAUUCGCGGAUGAUUAGAUAUUUUUCCUUCACGGUACUAUUGUGGAAUGUCAGAAUUUGGCGGCCAUCCUGCACCAAUACUGUUUUGCCACAGGGCAGGCUAUUAAUCUCAACAAGUCGGGUAUCCAUUUCAGCAAAGGCUGCCCCACGAUUUUGCGAAGGAAUAUGGCGGAGAUGCUAAGAGUUCAAGAAAUAGACAAAACAGGAAAAUAUUUAGGGAUGCCCUCAGAUUGGGGAGGUUCGAAAAAAGAUGUAUUCGCUUGGAUUCUUGCAAGAGUAAGCAUGAAGUUGGAGAGUUGGAAAGAAAACUUGCUAUCAAAACCAGGGAAGGAAAUAUUGAUCAAGUCUGUUGUGUUGGCAAUCCCACAAUAUGCUAUGUCCAUCUUUAAACUCCCCGUCUCAAUUUGCAAAGCCAUUGAGAAGAAAAUAGCAAACUUUUGGUGGCGGAGUGGAAAUAAGUCUGCUGGAAUUCAUUGGAAAAAAUGGGAGCAUCUAAAACUCAGAAAGGAAGAAGGGGGGCUCGGAUUUAAAGAUCUCUUAUCCUUCAAUAAGGCGAUGUUGAGCAAACACGCUUGGAGGAUAUCCCAGCAGCCUUCCUCACUCCUAAGUCAACUACUAAAGGGACUAUACUACCCACAAGGUGACUUUUGGAACGCUGGAAAAGGAUCUAGACCGUCAUGGGGAUGGCAAAGCAUCGUCGUGGGAAGAGAGUUGAUAGCUCCUCAAGUGAUGUGGGCUGUGGGCAACGGACAAACUAUUUCAAUCCGAGGAGAUAAAUGGUUGAAAAGCGGAAUUAUAGGAGGGCCAGCAUCAAGAAACGAGCCAGAAAAAGUGGCAGCUUUAAUACAGCAACGGGAUGGGAAAUGGAAUGUGGAAAUACUACGGUCUUUGUUCGAUGAAAACAGAGUUAAGGAAAUCCUAGAAACCCCUAUAGGAUUACCGUCCACAGCAGACAAGAUGGUAUGGAUGAGCAACAAAUCAGGGGAUUAUUCAGUGAAAAGCGGGUAUAUCUAUUGCAGAAAUCAAACAGCCAACCCAAUAAACACAUCAGCAUCCUCCUCUCAUCAAACACAGCCAGAUCUCUGGAAUCUAAUUUGGAAAUCAAAUUCACUACCAAGAGUAAAACAAUUCCUAUGGAACGCGUGUCAGAAUGCUCUACCAACUGUCGAAAACCUACACAGGAGGAGAAUUGUACCUGAUCCUCUAUGCCCAAUCUGCAAAAACGAAGUCGAAACCACUGAACAUGCACUACUGCUCUGCCCCUGGACCAUCGAGUUAUGGCGAUUGAGCCCCCUGCACCUCCAAAUUUCCAAAAUUGGAUUAACAAGAAUAGAUGAAUGGUUAUAUUCGAACAGACAAAACCCAAGUAAAGCUCAUGAUUUCAACCUGAUUGCUACGGUUUUGUGGUGCAUUUGGAAGGAUAGAAACCGAUUUGUGUUUGAACAUCAUCCCCUGUCUCCGUAUCAGACCCUGUCCAAAGCCAUAGCUCUACAUGAGAAUUACACGAGCUGCAACAGCAAGCCAACAGCUGCAAAAAAGAACAAUACCCAUAAGCACAGAUGGAUUCCACCGCCACUAAACACACUGAGCAUCAAUAUAGAUGCUUCUUUUGUCGGGAACGAAGUCGAUACACUAGAUCUGGAGAGAAGUCACAAGACCGGAUACAGAGCAAGUCGAGAUGUGGUGGAGAACAGAGGAAAAAUUCGUGGAGAUGGAACAGCCGACAUUCCUCCGGAAAGUUACAGAGAUAAUGAGCAGCAAAGAAGCACCUCAUCUUCGGAGGAAUGGUACGCCAAGCCUUCAAUUGGAAGUUCCGAAAGAAGAGGAGAGCUGGAGAAAACACGAAAAGGGGUCACACAACCUCCCGAGGAAGGAUCCGUAGGGACCAUGAACAACCUUCAUUUAGAAGCUUACCCCAGCGACGAGGGAAUAUUAUCACCAGAUCUGCCGGAUUCUAAACAAAGAGAAACCAGAAAGAGCUGGAACGAACCAGCGUGCAGGGCAAACAGAGCAAGGAACACGUACAAGGCAGGAGGGGAAGGGGUUGCGAAUGUAACCUCCGAUCAAGCUCUUGAACCGGAGGGCAGCAGGAAAACGGGCACAAACCGACUUAUCCAACCCCGCGGGGGAGACUCGGGCGAGUCGGUGAACCGGAGCACCUCCUUUGUCAGGCAUGACCGCUAGCCACCAGAUCUGGAGCUGCAGAGACCAAACACACCAGGUUUUCGGCCAAACAGAGGACAGAUUGGGUACAGGAGCGCCAUCGCCUGCAUCUGCCGUGACUCGCGGGGAAGCCUUGUUGAUGGAUUUUCGAAAUCAAUUGAAGCCUCUUCAGCAGAACAAGCUGAAGCUGAAGCCCUCAUGGAAACCCUAGAACAUCUAUCAAGCCGCUCGACCGAAGUGAUGCAAGUACACUCUGACUCCCUCCUGCUCGUGCAAGCAGUUCAGCAAAAGACAAAACCAAGUUGGGAAGUGGCAGGGCAGGUGGACCGGAUCCGCGAAAGAAUGAAAAACUUUAUGGGCCUAACUUUGGCCCACUGUAGCAGAGAAGCGAACAAGCCUGUGGACUGGGUUGUAAAAGCCCACCGAAAUCAAAUCCUCCCCCGUAACUGGGUAAAAUAUCCCCCGAUAGCCUUACUAGAUUUACUUACUGCUGACAUUUCUAAUGUAUUAGCUUCGAACUUAUCCAAGUAAAUGAAAGCAGAUGCAAUUUCGACCAAAAAAAAAAAAACACCAACUGAGAACAGUAGUCGAAAUUCAGGAAUGGUGAGCAAUAGAGUUGAAUAAAUAAAAUCAGCUACUUGAUAAAGUUUGAUUAGCCCAACACUUUUGUCUUAUUGUUCCAAUCCAAUGAACUCAUCUCUUUGUAUUAUUGAAUGUUACUAUUAUUUGCAAUAUAUCAAUCCCCACUUGCCAAAUACUCCCGAUGUCCAACGCCAUGUUCCACUAGACAAGAUGAUGCUCCAUGGGACAUAUUCCACUUGCCAAAUACUCCCAAAUGGGUACUGAAUCCAAUUGUUUGGAACCUAGAACUUAUCUUCUAUAGGAUAUUAUAAUCCCUAUGGAUGGCACGUUGAGUAGUGAGUACACAAGUUCUCCUCCUCUACGCUCUUGUAACUUUUUUUUUUUUAAAUUAUCAAGCAAAAAUUGUGGCAAUUCUAAAUUACUUGGACUAUCGAAGCACGAGUCUAUACCUGAGAUAGUUUGCGACGGGUACAUACGACUCAACAAAUACCAGUUGGGGCCGCACGGCAUGAAUCCUCAUCAAGACGAGCGAUGAAUCACAAAGUGGAUCCCCAACCCUUGCACUGGUAACCAAAACUAAUUGAUAACCCAUGGAGAAAAGCUGGUAAGCCACACAGGUAAAUGUUGGUAAAUUCAUAUGAAAGUUAAUAAAUCUAUGGAGCUUGUAGGAAAGAAAAAUAAAAUUUGGCAAACCAUAAUAAAAGUUGAUAAACUUAAAAAAAAAAUCAAAUAAACAUUGGGAAAUCAUUCAAAUGAGAGUUGAUAACUUAAACCUAUAUGUGAAUUACAUCAGAGAAAAGUUGGUAAGUCACUCAAAUAAAAAUUGAGCAACUCUUUAAGGCUUUAACAUGAGGAGAGAACAAAAGUUGGUAAAACUAAAAAAAAAAAAAUGGUAAUCUGUGAACAAUAUAAUUAAUAGUAUGUUAAAAAAGUGAUGAUAAGUUACCAAAGAGUUGUUGGAAAAACUAGUGACCGGUGAUUUUUUUUUAGCCAUUAAUUGUCAGAAAAACGCUCCAUUAUGUGGCUUAGCUCGAGAUAAACAUCAUUUAAGUAGUGAUUAGGGCAAUAAAAAUCUAUUGAAGGUCAAGCAUAGGCCAUGGUUAGAUAUUGACAAAGCUCGUCGCAACUGGCGUCAGUAAUUACGAACGCGGAAACUUAGCCUCGGGUGUGAGAUAAAGGGAAUUACAUUACUCCAUUCUCAAGGCAUUCUCAAGGCUUGUGAUAUAAAAAAUUAACAAAAAAUUUUCGUAGGCCAUAUUCUGCACAUGCAAAGAGAUUUUGCAUUGACGAGGGACGGAUAGAUUCACGGUGGGUCCGUCGUUGGGCGGCUGAGAAUAACGGGUGUGAGGGGGGCUUCCAGCUAGUCACAGGGGUCACAGCCCCACCGUGUACUUUUGUAAUUGGCCGUUGUUUUUGACCAAGUAAGAAAAGCCUAAUAUAAAGAAAGAAAGGGCUGGUCCGUUUUUCCUUUACAUUGUAUAAUAUUGUUGUUAAUCAUAACAAUCAAUAAUCGAUCCCACUUUUCAAAAUUGGCAGUCAUCUUCUAUUUAGCACAUGCGUGAUCAAUGACUCCGUUUGACAUAGGAACAGUGCUGAACUUCUUAAAAAUGGUUUACAAAAUCGACACACGAGGGGUGCCUCGACUAUGGAUGGCCAAGGAAAUCCGCAAUCUUCCAUGUGAUGGAUUUUCCUCGCAAGUGACAUGUGGAAUCAGUGCUUUGCAGCCGGUAUAUCUCCUAAUUAAUGAUCUAUGAAGUGUCCUCUGGUCAUUCUUUAUACGACCGUGUUCUCUCUUUCUUUCUUUUUUACCUUGGUCUAAACUCUUUGUCGUAUCUUUCCGAAAUUGAUCGCAAGUUGUUCAAGAACCAAAAGCCUAGGUGAUUGGGGACCACCACGUAAACAUAUAUGUGCGUGUAACAAUGUCAGAGCACCAAAAAGCUGUGCUAACUCCCUGGUUCCAAUAGCAUCUUGAAACCUCAGAGAGAAUGGAACUUCGCAGCUCAAAUAUCAUUAGUUUCAAGACCAGGGAGCUUCAAUCACUCCUAGUCUUGGUUCUUUCUCUAGCCAUCGCCUUCACGGCUUCGGCGUCGUCUCAAGGCAUCGAUUUCAGCUUCCAGACUUUCGACAAUGAUAGCAUUCGAUUCCAAGGCGACGCGUCUAUUUCGGGUAACCUCAUCCAACUUACAAAGGCCUCUCAGAGCACGGGGUGGGCCAUGUACCAUGAGCCGAUGCGCCUUUGGGACAAGGCGACUGGGAACAUGGCGGAUUUCACCACCAGUUUCACCUUCAUCAUCAAUUCGCAGGAAAAGUCGAAAUUCGGCGAUGGAUUGACAUUCUUUCUUGUCCCUGAAGGGUCUCAAAUCCCGAUUAACUCGUCGGGUCGCUACCUCGCUCUCGUAAAUCCGAACCGCAACCCUUCCAUCUCUUCUACUUCCUUUGUAGCUGUCGAGUUCGACACUUAUAGCAACAACUAUAGUGGUGUUGUGGACCCGAAUUGUUCACAAGUUGCACAUGUUGGUAUAGACUUGAAUAAUCUCACUUCCGCGGUUUCUAACUGCGUUGAUUGGUUCAAGGAUAAAAUCAUGAGCGGUGGACGGAUCAAUGCUACGAUUAUGUACAAUUCUAGCAUGCAGAACUUGAGCAUUGUCAUGAUCGAUGCAGAUGCCACGGGCACUGACAUAAAUUCCUCCGCUAUCUACAAUAUAGUCAACAUGGCCAAGUAUUUGCCGGAGUGGGUGAAUUUUGGCUUCUCCGCUGCAACGGGUACGAAUUUCGAGCUGCACACUCUUGAGGCAUGGGAAUUCCGCUCUAAUGUGCAAGUGGCUGGAAAAAAGAGUAAGUUAUGGUUAUGGGCUACCUUAGGCUCAGGUUCUUUCAUUUUGCUGGUUCUUGUUCUAGCGUUUGCUUGGUUUCGUCACUGUUCGAAGAGAAGAGGAACUUAAAUGAGCGGAGAAGAAGAUGCUCUCGCAAUCGAUGAAGAAUACGAGCAAGUGCCAGGGCCCAAGAAAUUCUCCUACUUGCCAAAUACUCCCGAUUUCCAACGCCAUGUUCCACUAGACAAGAUGAUGUGGGACAUAUUCCACUUGCCAAAUACUCCCAAAUGGGUACUGAUUCCAAUUGUUUGGAACCUAUACCUUAUCUUAUAUAGGCUAUUAUAAUCCCUAUGGAAGGCACGUUGAGUAGUGAGUAUACAAGUUCUCCUCCUCUACGCUCUUGUAACUUUUUGUUUUCUGAAAUUAUCAAGCAAAAAUUGUGACAAUUCUAAAUUACAUGGACUAUCGGAGCACGAGUCUAUACCUGAGAUAGUUUGCGACGGGUACGUACGACUCAACAAAGACCAGUUGGGGCCGCACGGCAUGAAUCCUCAUCAAGACGAGCGAUGAAUCACAAGGUGGAUCCCAGACCCUUGCACUGGUAACCAAAACUAAUUGAUAACUCAUGGAGAAAAGCUGGUAAGCCACACAGGUAAAUGUUGGUAAAUUCAUAUGAGAGUUAAUAAAUCUAUGGAGCUUGUAGGAAAGAAAAAUAAAAUUUGGCAAACCAUAAUAAAAGUUGAUCAACUUUUUAAAAAAAAAAAUCAAAUAAACAUUGGGAAAUCAUUCAAAUGAGAGUUGACAACUUAAACCUAUAUGUGAAUUACAUUAGAGAAAAGUUGGUAGGUCACCCAAAUAAAAAUUGAGCAACUCUUUAAGGCUUUAACAUGAGGAGCGAACAAAAGUUGGUAAAAAAUAAUGGUAAUUUGUGAACAAUAUAAUUAAAAGUAUGUUAAAAAAGUGAUGAUAAGUUACCAAAGAGUUGUUGGAAAAACUAGUGACCGGUGAUUUUUAUUUAGCCAUUAAUUGUCAGAAAAACGCUCCAUUAUGUGGCUUAGCUCGAGAUAAACAUCAUUUAAGUAGUGAUUAGGGCAAUAAAAAUCUAUUGAAGGUCAAGCGUAGGCCAUGAUUAGAUAUUGACAAAGCUCGUCGUAACUGGCGCUAGUAAUUACGGACACGGAAACUUAGCCUCGGGAGCGAGAUAAAGGGAAUUACAUUACUCCAUUCUCGAGGCUUGUGAUACAAAAAAUUAACAAAAAAAUUUCGUAGGCCAUAUUCUGCACGUGCAAAGAGAUUUUGCAUUGACGAGGGGCGGAUAGAUUCACGGCGGCUCCCGCCAGCCUAUCGGUGGGUCCGUUGUUGGGCGGCUGAGAACAACGGGUGUGAGGGCGGCUUCCAGCUAGUCACAGGGGUCACAGUCCUUUCCGUGUCACGACCAUAGAAAAGAGAAUCAAGUGGCAGCACCACAGUGUACCUUUGUAAUUGGCCGUUGUUUUUGACCAAGCAAGAAAAGCCUAAUAUAAAGAAAGAAAGGGAGCGUCCGUUUUUCCUUUACAUUAUAUAUAUAUAUAUAUUUUAUGCCUAGGAUCCGCUAAGCCUGCUGGGCUUACGCCGGACAGUCCACCCCUGUAAAGUGCACGGUGUACCCGAUUACACUGUAUAAUAUUGUUAAUGAUAAUAAUCAAUAAUUGAUCCCACUUUUCAAAAUUGGCAGUCAUCUUCCAUUUAGCACAUGCUGAUCAAUGACUCCGUUUGAUAUAAGAAUAGUGCUGAACUUCUUUAAAAUGGUUUACAAAAUCGACACACAAGCGGUGCCUCCGACUAUGGAUGGCCAAGAAAGUCGGCAAUCUUCCAUGGGAUUGAUUUUCCUCGCAAGUGGCAUGUGAAAUCAGUGCUUCGCAGCCGGUAUUUCUCCUAAUUAAUGAUCUAUCAAGUGUCCUUUGGUCAUUCUUUAUAAAACUGUGUUCUCUUUUCUUUUCUUUUCGUGGUCUAAAGUCUUUGUCGUAUGGGACCACGUGGGGACUGUCUCAUUUUCGUUUACAUCGAACCUUUCCGAAAUUGAUCGCAAGUUGCUCAAGAACCAAAAGUCUAUGUGAUUGGGGACCACCACGUAAACAUAUAUGUGCGUGUAACAACGUCAGAGCACCAGAAAGCUGUGCUAACUCCCUGGUUCCAAGCGCAUCUUGAAACUUCAGAGAGAAUGGAAUUUCACAGCUCAAAUAUCAUUAGUUUCAAGACCAGGGAGCUUCAAUCACUCCUAGUCUUGGUUCUCUCUCUAGCCAUCGCCUUCACGGCUGCAGCAUCGUCUCAGGGCAUCGAUUUCAGCUUCCGAACCUUCGACAAUGAUAAUAUUCGAUUCCAAGGCGAUGCGUCUAUUUCGAGCGACCUCAUCCAACUUACAAAGGCCACUAUGAGCAAAGGGUGGGCUACGUACCACAAGCCGAUGCGCCUUUGGGACAAGGCAACCGGGAACGUGGCGGAUUUCACCACCAACUUCACCUUCAUCAUCAAUUCGCAGGGAAACUCCAAAUUCGGCGAUGGAUUCACCUUCUUUCUUGUCCCCAAAGGAUCUCAAAUGCCAUUCGACUCCUUGGGACGCUACCUCGCUCUUGUAAGUCCAAGCCGCAACUCUUCGAUCUCUUCUACUUCCUUUGUGGCUGUCGAGUUCGACACUUAUCGCAACAACUUUAGUGGUGUUAUGGACCCGAAUUGUUCACAAGUUGCACAUGUUGGUAUAGACUUGAAUAAUCUCACUUCCGCAGCCUCUAGCUGCGUCGAUUGGUUCGAGGAUAAAAUCAUGAGUGGUGGACGGAUCAAUGCUACGAUUACGUACAAUUCUAGCACGCAGAACUUGAGCAUUGUCAUGAUCGAUGUGGAUGCCACGGGCACCAACAUGAAUUCCUCUGCUAUCUACAAUAUAGUCAACAUGACCAAGUAUUUGCCGGAGUGGGUGAAUUUUGGUUUCUCGGCUGCAACGGGUACGGAUUAUGAGCUGCACACUAUUGAGGCAUGGGAAUUCCGCUCUAAUGUGCUAGUGGCUGGAAAAAAGAGAAAGUUAUGGCUAUGGGCUACCUUAGGCUCAGGUUCUUUCAUUUUGCUGGUUCUUGUUCUAGCCUUUGUUUCGUUUCGUCACUGUUCGAAGAGAAAAGGAACUUACAAGAGCGGAGAAGAAGAUGCUUUGGCAAUCGAUGAAGAAUUCGAGCAAGUGCCAGGGCCCAAGAAAUUCUCCCACAAGGACUUGGUGGUGGCAACCGAUAAUUUUGCAAUUGAACGGUUGCUUGGAGAAGGGGGCUUUGGGAGAGUGUACGAAGGAUACUUGACUACCAUGAAUGUCAAAGUCGCUAUCAAGAAGAUUAAUCCGGGGUCAAGACAAGGGAUAAAGGAGUAUGCCACCGAAGUGAAGACCAUAAGCCAACUCCGGCAUAGAAAUUUAGUCCAACUCAUCGGGUGGUGUCAUGAGAAAAAGGAACUCCUUCUUAUCUAUGAGUUCAUGUCUAAUGGUAGCCUGGAUACUCAUCUAUUCAAAGAAAGAACCUUCUUGCCAUGGGAGAAACGAUACAAAAUUGCGCAAGGCAUAGCCUCAGCAUUACUUUACCUCCAUGAAGAAUGGGAACAGUGCGUGUUGCAUCGUGAUAUAAAGUCCAGCAAUAUCAUGCUCGAUUCCGAUUUUAAUGCUAAAUUAGGG
rnacentral:lncRNA from 1 species